rnacentral:rRNA from 1 species
AACAAGGUUUCCGUAGGUGAACCUGCGGAAGGAUCAUUGUCGAAUGUUCGAGAAAACACGACCCUGUGCACGUAACCUAAUCUAUCGCUGCCGGGGGGGCAUCGCCGCCCCGGCCCACCGGCCACGGUCCUCUCUCGGCCCGUGCGUCGGAAAUACGGCGCGGUUUGCGCCAAGGAACACGAGAUGCUGAGGCGGCCGGCGGAGCGCUCCGGUGCACCGCCCGCCGUCGAUGCAAAGUAACACAUGAUGACUCUCGGCAACGGAUAUCUCGGCUCUCGCAUCGAUGAAGAACGUAGCGAAAUGCGAUACGUGGUGUGAAUUGCAGAAUCCCGCGAACCAUCGAGUCUUUGAACGCAAGUUGCGCCCGAGGGAUCCACCCAAGGGCACGCCUGCCUGGGCGUUAGAAGCCCAUCCACGCUCGGUGCUCACUCAGCCCGAUGCGGAUCAUGGCCCUCCGAGCCCGAAGGCGCGGUGGGCCCAAGUGUGAGGCCGCCGGGAGGAGCCGGGUGCGGCGAGUGGUGGAAUGCUGCGUGCGCCGCCCCGUGUCCCUUCCUGGAACAUGGCUGUGAAGGACCCUCGAACGAGGAGCCGUGCUGAUUACCACAGCACGGCACUUUCGGAUCGAUACCCCAGGUCAGGCGGGGCUACCCGCCCAACACACAAACCCAC